rnacentral:rRNA from 1 species
CCUACGGGCGGCAGCAGUGGGGGAUAUUGCACAAUGGGGGGAACCCUGAUGCAGCGACGCCGCGUGGGUGAAGAAGCGCUUCGGCGCGUAAAGCCCUGUCAGCAGGGAAGAAAAUGACGGUACCUGAAGAAGAAGCCCCGGCUAACUACGUGCCAGCAGCCGCGGUAAUACGUAGGGGGCAAGCGUUAUCCGGAUUUACUGGGUGUAAAGGGGGCGCAGACGGCGAUGCAAGACAGGAGUGAAAGCCCGGGGGCCAAACCCGGGACUGCUCUUGGAACUGCGUGGCUGGAGUGCAGGAGGGGCAGGUGGAAUUCCUGGUGUAGCGGUGAAAUGCGUAGAUAUCAGGAGGAACACCGGUGGCGAAGGCGGCCUGCUGGACUGCAACUGACGUUGAGGCCCGAAAGCGUGGGGAGCAAACAGGAUUAGAUACCCUGGUAGUC